GCUCACUGAAGUAAUUUUUAAGAGCCGCAGUAUCCUAACUGUGCUAAGGUAGCAUAAUCAUUUGUCACUUAAUUAGUGACUAGUAUGAAAGGCUUAACGAGGGACCGACUAUCUUUUAUUUAACAAAUAAAAUUAACUUAUUAGUUAAAAGGCUAGUAUAAUCUAAAAAGACGAGAAGACCCUAUAGAGCUUAGCAAAAAAUUUUGUAAGAUAUUUAAAAUUACUAGAAUAAUUGCUUGAUUGGGGUGAUUAAAAGAUAAACAAAACUCUUUUUUAAAUUUUACUUUAUAAUAGAUCUACUGAUCCGUCCUUAACGAUUACAAGAAAAAGUUACCUUAGGGAUAACAGCGUAAUACUUAUUAAAAGCCCAAAUCGACAUAAGUGUUUGCGACCUCGAUGUUGGACUAAAAUUAAAAUAUGAUGCAGCAGUCAUAUACUUUAGGUCUGUUCGACCUUUAAAUUUUUACACGAUCUGAGUUCAGACCGGCGAAAGCCAGGUUG
rnacentral:rRNA from 1 species